ACGAACGCUGGCGGCGUGCUUCACCCAUGCCAGUCGAACGCUGAAGCUCAGCUUUUGUUGGGUGGAUGAGUGGCGAACGGGUGAGUAACACGUGAGUAACCUGCCCCCUUCUUUGGGAUAACGCCCGGAAACGGGUGCUAAUACUGGAUAUUCACUGGUCUUCGCAUGGGGGUUGGUGGAAAGGGUUUUUCUGGUGGGGGAUGGGCUCGCGGCCUAUCAGCUUGUUGGUGGGGUGAUGGCCUACCAAGGCUUUGACGGGUAGCCGGCCUGAGAGGGUGACCGGUCACAUUGGGACUGAGAUACGGCCCAGACUCCUACGGGAGGCAGCAGUGGGGAAUAUUGCACAAUGGGCGCAAGCCUGAUGCAGCGACGCCGCGUGAGGGAUGGAGGCCUUCGGGUUGUGAACCUCUUUCGCUCAUGGUCAAGCCGCAACAAUGGUUGUGGUGAGGGUAGUGGGUAAAGAAGCGCCGGCUAACUACGUG
rnacentral:rRNA from 1 species